UGCAAGUCGAGCGAUGGAUUGAGAGCUUGCUCUCAAGAAGUUAGCGGCGGACGGGUGAGUAACACGUGGGUAACCUGCCCAUAAGACUGGGAUAACUCCGGGAAACCGGGGCUAAUACCGGAUAACAUUUUGAACUGCAUGGUUCGAAAUUGAAAGGCGGCUUCGGCUGUCACUUAUGGAUGGACCCGCGUCGCAUUAGCUAGUUGGUGAGGUAACGGCUCACCAAGGCAACGAUGCGUAGCCGACCUGAGAGGGUGAUCGGCCACACUGGGACUGAGACACGGCCCAGACUCCUACGGGAGGCAGCAGUAGGGAAUCUUCCGCAAUGGACGAAAGUCUGACGGAGCAACGCCGCGUGAGUGAUGAAGGCUUUCGGGUCGUAAAACUCUGUUGUUAGGGAAGAACAAGUGCUAGUUGAAUAAGCUGGCACCUUGACGGUACCUAACCAGAAAGCCACGGCUAACUACGUGCCAGCAGCCGCGGUAAUACGUAGGUGGCAAGCGUUAUCCGGAAUUAUUGGGCGUAAAGCGCGCGCAGGUGGUUUCUUAAGUCUGAUGUGAAAGCCCACGGCUCAACCGUGGAGGGUCAUUGGAAACUGGGAGACUUGAGUGCAGAAGAGGAAAGUGGAAUUCCAUGUGUAGCGGUGAAAUGCGUAGAGAUAUGGAGGAACACCAGUGGCGAAGGCGACUUUCUGGUCUGUAACUGACACUGAGGCGCGAAAGCGUGGGG
rnacentral:rRNA from 1 species